rnacentral:rRNA from 1 species
UACGUAGGGUGCAAGCGUUGUCCGGAAUUAUUGGGCGUAAAGGGCUCGUAGGCGGUCCAUCGCGUCGGGGAGUGAAAAGCUGGGGCUUAACCCCAGUCCUGCUUCCGAUACGGGUGGACUAGAGGUAGGUAGGGGAGAUCGGAAUUCCUGGUGUAGCGGUGAAAUGACGCAGAUAUCAGGAGGAACACCGGUGGCGAAGGCGGAUCUCUGGGCCUUACCUGACGCUGGAGGAGCGGAAAGCAUGGGGAGCAAACAGG